rnacentral:lncRNA from 1 species
GUUUAGUUAAACAUAUUUACUUAUAAGUAAAUUCUCAAGUAAUUUUUUUAGUUUAGCCACACAUGCACCUGAUCCUAUAUGCUGUUUUUGGCAGGACAAAUUUCAGUCACCGAAGGUCUGUUGCAGCUAGUUUGGUUCAGAGUGUCUACAUUUUGGAGCGGGAUCGUCAGGAGAAGCGGGAAGGAAGCGAAGCCCUUGCCCCUCCUUGGUGGAAAUUCUUCAAUUUUCAGCUGUACAGACAACUGAUUGAUGAUGCCGAUUCUUCUGUCUUUGGUGCAAUCUAUGAACUCAGUUGCACUGCAUCAGAAAACAUCCCUUCGGCACAACAAGCCCCUCGAUAUAUUGUCGCUUUUCGAGGCACUAUUACCAAGGGGGAUGCAUUUUCACGAGACCUUGAAUUGGACGUCCACAUUAUUCAAAAUGGUCUUCACGGGACAUCUCGCUUUGAGAUAGCCAUACAAGCUGUUCGACACGUGGUGGCGACAUUUGGAAAUUGCGGUGUUUGGGUAGCCGGCCAUUCACUGGGGUCGGCCAUGGCAAUGCUUGCUGGGAAGAAUAUGGCAAAGAGUGGAGUAUUUCUUGAAGCAUUUUUGUUCAACCCACCAUUCUUUUCUGCCCCAAUUGAGAGAGUCAAGGAUGAAAAGAUGAAACAUGGCAUAAGAAUUGCAGGCAGUGUGAUUACAGCUGGACUUGCUUUUGCUAUGAAACAUAAGGACACAAAAAAUGGGUAUGGAGACUCAUUUGUUUCUCUGUCUUGUUGGUUGCCAUGUCUAUUUAUCAACCCGGAUGAUCACAUUUGCUCGGAGUACAUAGGGUACUUCGAACACCGGAAAAAGAUGGAGGCAAUUGGGAUAGGAGGUAUAGAAAGGUUGGCUACUCAACACUCUAUUGGGGGUCUUUUAUUGAAUGCAAUGGGUAAGGAGGUGGACGAGCCACUGCAUCUUAUUCCUUCAGCUAAUCUGACAGUUAAUCGCACUCCGUCACAAGAUUUCAUAGAUGCUCAUGGUAUUCACCAGUGGUGGCGACCUGAUCUGAAUCUCGAGUCGGAAGUUUAUUUUUACAAGUGAGAUAUCUUUUGGUUUAUUGGUAUUCAUCGUAGGGAUCUUUACCGUUUCAAAUGUACAUGUGCUUAACUGCAUGUGUGAAUAAUCUCCAUGCCAUCAAUGUAUUAUUGUGAUUUGUUGUUUAUUCUCUUAGCCCUCAUUGUCAUCAAUUCUGUAUCAUUGUAAAUUUCAAAGCUUUUUGUUUUGGAAAGCUAUUUUCUCUCCCCUUCAUGAUUUCAAGAAAUUUAUGGGUUUAGCCUUUGAAAAGCUCUGUGGUCUGUUUUCUGGGAUGCAAUUAGCCAAUUAGCCGUGUC